rnacentral:rRNA from 1 species
GACGAACGCUGGCGGCGUGCUUAACACAUGCAAGUCGAGCGGUAAGGCCCUUUCGGGGGUACACGAGCGGCGAACGGGUGAGUAACACGUGGGUGACCUGCCCUCAGCUCUGGGAUAAGCCCGGGAAACUGGGUCUAAUACUGGAUAUGACUCCAUGACGCAUGUUGUGGGGUGGAAAGCCUUGUGCGGCUGGGGAUGGGCCCGCGGCCUAUCAGCUUGUUGGUGGGGUGAUGGCCUACCAAGGCGACGACGGGUAGCCGGCCUGAGAGGGCGACCGGCCACACUGGGACUGAGACACGGCCCAGACUCCUACGGGAGGCAGCAGUGGGGAAUCUUGCGCAAUGGGCGAAAGCCUGACGCAGCGACGCCGCGUGAGGGAUGACGGCCUGGU